CGGAGGGUCCGACGCGGUCGCUCCCCGGCAUCGGGCCGGGGAGAGGAAAGUCCGGACUCCAACGGGCAGCAUGCUCGCCAACGGCGAGGCGCGGCGACGCGACGGAAAGUGCAACAGAGAGCAGACCGCCGGGACCUCGGGUUCCGGCAAGGGUGAAACGGUGCGGUAAGAGCGCACCGCCCGGGCGGCGACGUUCCGGGGCACGGCAAACCCCAUGCGGAGCAAGACCGAAUAGGGGUGCGCGACGCGGGCCGCCCGUCCCGCUUCCGGUGGUUCGCCACCGGCGCGUUCCCGGGUAGGUUGCUGGAGGCCGGCGGUAACGCCGGCUCGAGAGGAAUGACCGCGACCGGCUUCGGCCGGCACAGAAUCCGGCUUACCGGGCCCUCCGACCG
rnacentral:RNase_P_RNA from 1 species